rnacentral:rRNA from 1 species
AGAGUUUGAUCAUGGCUCAGAACGAACGCUGGCGGCGUGGAUAAGACAUGCAAGUCGAACGGGUUUAAUUCAGUAGCAAUACUGGAUUGAGCCAGUGGCGAACGGGUGCGUAACACGUGAGUCAUCUGCCUGAAAGUGGGGGAUAGCUCGCCGAAAGGCGAAUUAAUACCGCAUAUGAUCAGGGAAGACAUCUUUCCGACAUCAAAGCCGGGGCAACCUGGCGCUUUUUGAGGAGCCCGCGGCCUAUCAGCUAGUUGGUGAGGUAACGGCUCACCAAGGCAUUGACGGGUAGCUGGUCUGAGAGGACGACCAGUCACACUGGAACUGAGACACGGUCCAGACACCUACGGGUGGCAGCAGUCGAGAAUUUUUCUCAAUGGGGGAAACCCUGAAGGAGCGACGCCGCGUGGAGGAUGAAGGUCUUCGGGUUGUAAACUCCUGUCAUUUGGGAACAAGGCGUACGUAUUUACUGUACGUAUGUUGAUAGUACCAGAAGAGGAAGAGACGGCUAACUCUGUGCCAGCAGCCGCGGUAAUACAGAGGUCUCAAGCGUUGUUCGGAUUCAUUGGGCGUAAAGGGUGCGUAGGUGGCGCCAUAAGUCAGGUGUGAAAUCUCGGGGCUUAACUCCGAAACUGCAUUUGAUACUGUGGUGCUUGAGGACUGGAGAGGAGACUGGAAUUUACGGUGUAGCAGUGAAAUGCGUAGAGAUCGUAAGGAAGACCAGUGGCGAAGGCGGGUCUCUGGACAGUUCCUGACACUGAGGCACGAAGGCCAGGGGAGCAAACGGGAUUAGAUACCCUCGUAGUCC